AGGUAGAAUGGCCGAGUGUUAGGCGGCAGGCUGUAAACCUGCUCACACAGGGUUAAUCCUGUUUCUUC
rnacentral:tRNA from 1 species